rnacentral:lncRNA from 1 species
AUAAUGUUCAGGGAUGUAAUAGAAUUAGUUGUCAAUGAAUGUUAUAAAUAAUGGGUGUAAACUUCAAUUCAAGGAAUUCAAAUACAUUUUGUGAUAUUUUCACAUUUCAAUUUACAGUUUCUUUCUGUUAACUCUUCUUCCCCAAAUCCCCCUCCCGCCGGCCUGCAAUCCGAUCUCCUGUGGCCUUUCGUCGCCGGCAUUGGGUCGUCGUCGUUUUAUAGAAACAAAGAACACUUCAGGUUAACUCUAAAGAAAUAGUUGUUCAUUAAUCUGUCGUGGAUAUUAAGCACAUACGUUUCUUGAAGGAUCCUUCCCAGUGAUGUCGAUAUUGGAGAAGGUGGAAAGGAAACGGAGACCACGUAAAUUAACCCUAAAUUAAAUAUGCCAACCUAAAUUUUUGAUUAUCUUACGGAGACCAAAAAACACCCAAAAGAAGUGAGAAUGGAAACAACCAGAAUGAAAACAACCAGAGAAAUAAAAAGAAUAAGAAACCGAAAAGAAACAAACAUAGAAUGAAACCAAGGUUGAGAAAAACCAGAGAAUGAAACAAGGUUGAGCAAAACCAGAGAAAUAAAAAUCCCAAAGAAAUCCAGAAAACAAAGAACAGAGAAACAAAGAACAACCAGAGAACAAAAGAAGAUUAAAACAACCAGAGAGAUGAAAAGAAGAAGAAACACAAAAGAAGAAGAAAUCGAGAUCAAGAUCGAGAACGAGAACAAAGGAAUACAAAGAAACUCAACAAACCGACAAUGAAACCCAACAAACCGACAAUGAAAACAACCAGAGAAAUAAAAAGAGGAGGAAACCCAAAAGAAGAAGAAACCGAGAACGAGAAAGGAGAAUAAAGAAGAAACCCAUGGCCGAUAACGGAGGAUGAAGAAGACAACCAGAGAAUGAUGAAGAAGACAACCAGAAAAAUAAAUAACAGACACCGACAAGACAUGUCAAAAAAACACCUAUAACUGAC